rnacentral:rRNA from 1 species
GUGUCAGCCGCCGCGGUAAGACGUAGGGUGCAAGCGUUAAUCGGAAUUACUGGGCGUAAAGCGUGCGCAGGCGGUUUUGUAAGACAGAUGUGAAAUCCCCGGGCUCAACCUGGGAACUGCAUUUGUGACUGCAAGGCUAGAGUGCGUCAGAGGGAGGUGGAAUUCCGCGUGUAGCAGUGAAAUGCGUAGAGAUGCGGAGGAACACCGAUGGCGAAGGCAGCCUCCUGGGAUGACACUGACGCUCAUGCACGAAAGCGUGGGGAGCAAACAGGAUUAGAAACCCCCGUAGUCC